rnacentral:ncRNA from 1 species
AAUCGGUUCACCCUUUGGGUGAUGAAAAGGGAAUCGGGUGAGAAUCCCGGACAGUCCCGCUGCUGUAAGCCGUCCUUAUCGGAGCAGACACGAAGUCACUGAGAUUAUCGGGAAGACGUCUGCUGCCAGACGGUAAGUCAGAAGACCUGCCGAUGAC